rnacentral:lncRNA from 1 species
UGAGAACUAGUGACACUUUUCUUUUGUUGUUUUAAUGAACUGAAGACAUAGUACUAGUUAGACAGCAAAUACUUUGCUUAUCAAAUCCUUCAACAAAGGCACUUCCCCCCAUGCUGUUGGUUUUCUCACUGAUGUAUAGAAGUUGGUCUUUUGAUUCUCAGUGUAGGCUUGAAUUAUUGCCCAAGAAAACCUGAGCCCACGUUGUUUUUUUUUAGUUUACUUAGCUAGAAUCUCACAGCAUAUUAAAGUCAUAUCCCCACCCCCACCCCCAAAUAAUUAUGUUUGAGUAUGUAAAAAAGGUAUGGUUACAGGGGUAUGUUAAAUUUUCAUACUUACUCUUUUAGCAAGUAUUUAUUAGUCAACUGGGUAUACAGUUCUAGAUAUUACAGAAGUUUCCAAAAAAUGGACAUGGACCAGCACUUAUAUCUAGAGUGUAUAAUCUGUAAUGGUAUAUAAGUAGCAGUAGCUGGUCUAAUCUGAAUAGUUCAUUCAAAAGUAUUUUGUAUUAAUUAUCCAGCCAUUGUAUUUAAGCUCUGGAUAAUAGGUACUGUUUAAUUUGCUGCAGCAUAUACUGAAUGGUGGAAAGACUGAACAUAUUGGGAUGUAUCUUUCCAUGUUUCUUUCAGAUAAUUAUAUAUUAUGAAAAGAACAUUUUAAAGCAUUUGGAGCAGUAAUGAAGUAAAAACAAUUCAAUGUAUGUCAGAUACACCCAACAGUUGAUGCUAUUCAAAUGUGAUUUUGUUAGUUUUUCUGUAUACAUUAUUGAUUACUGAUUUGUUUUUAGGUAUUUAAGUCUAAUAAACAGUUCACAUAUUGGCAGUCACUUUGAUAGUAAUAGAAUAUUAGUGAUGAUCACUUGAUGGACAUUUAUUACAUGCUUGUUUUGUUUCCCCUUCUGCAUGCCUGAUAGAUGUAUAUUACUUUUUUUUGGUGAACUUGUUUCUUGAAAGUUUUGACCAUGCUAUUCAGGGUGUUUAAUGUUAUGCUUUUCUUCUAAAUUUAAGUCUAAGAUGUCUGCUGUUACUAGUAAAGAUCAUAUGAAAGCUAAAAUUUACUGUUUUGUUGAAAAAUC